ACUCUACAACACCUGAGGCCAGCACUACAGAACAAAUAACCACAGUUGAUAACACAACACAACUGAUCACAUUUACCAGUAAGUAUCAUCAAGUUCUGGAGAACAAAAUGUGUGUUUCUCCCCUAAUGUAGACUCUACAACAUCAUCAUCUACACCCACAACAGAACAAAUUACUACAGCUGACCCCACAAUACAUCUGACCACAGUUGUCAGUAAAUACAAUCAAGUACUAGUUAAAAUAAUUUGUUCUUAAAUUCAGGUCUUCACAUGUUUGUCACAUCCCUCCCUCCCUCCCUCCCUCCCUCCCUCCCUCCCUCCCUCCCUCCCUCCCUCCCUCCCUCCCUCCCUCCCUCUCUGUCUGUCUGUCUGUCUGUCUGUCUGUCUGUCUGUCUGUCUGUCUGUCUGUCUGUCUGUCUGUCUGUCUGUCUGUCUGUCUGUCUGUCUGUCUCUCUCUCUCUCUCUCUCUCUCUCUCUCUCUGCUUUAGACUCUACAACACCUGAGGCCAGCACUACAGAACAAAUAACUACAGUUGAUAACACAACACAACUGAUCACAGUUACCAACUCUACAACACCUGAGGCCAGCACUACAGAACAAAUAACUACAGUUGAUAACACAACACAACUGAUCACAGUUACCAACUCUACAACACCUGAGGCCAGCACUACAGAACAAAUAACCACAAUUGAUAACACAACACAACUGACCACAGUUACCAACUCUACAACACCUGAGGCCAGCACUACAGAACAAAUAACUACAGUUGAUAACACAACACAACUGAUCACAGUUACCAACUCUACGACACCUGAGGCCAGCACUACAGAACAAAUGACCAAAGUUACCAACUCUACAACAACUCCACCCACAACAGGACAAAGUACUACAGCUGACCCCACAACACAACUGACCACAAUUACCAACUUUACUACACCUGCAGCUACAACAAAUCAGACCACUACAGUUGACCCCACAACACAACCGACCACAGACACGAGUAAGUGUCAUCAACUUCUGUAUAACAAAACCUGUCUGAAGCAGACCUAACAACCUGUUACUUCUCUGCUGUAGACUCUACUGCACCCACAAAUACAUUAACUACUGAAUCAACACCAGCAUUAAGUACAAAAACAACACCACCAACUGUGAUAAUACCACCACCAACCACAAUUGCAAAACCUGCUGGUGUGUGUAAGAAUAGAGGAUGUUUCUGAAGACUUCUAAAUGAAUCCUGACCACAUUCACCAGUAGGUGAACCAUAGUUCACCAAACAGAUCUAACAAUGUAACAGUCUGUCACUACUGUAUAUAACCGCUUUGCUGUAGCCUCUGCAACACUUUAGCCCACAACAGAACAGAGAACAACCACCACAGGUAGCACAGGUGUUGUUCUGUGAUCCCACCUCCAGUUUUGUACUGUAGCUUUCACUUACUACUAAGCCAUGUGUCUCUCCCAACAGGAACUACAGUAACUACUGAACCACCACCAGCAACUACAAAAACGACACCACCAACAACAAUACCACCAACAACACCACCAACAACAGUACCACCACCAACAACAAUACCACCACCAACACCACCAACACCACCAACAACAACACCACCAACACCACCAACAACAACACCACCAUCAACUACAAAACCAGCUGGUAUGUGUAAGAAUAGAAGAUGUUUCUGAACACUGCUGAAUGAAUCCUGAUUAUGCCAUGAUUAUGAAAAAUCAUGAAUCAAUCAUGAACCUUGAUGGGUGAGAAGGUUACAGAGGCUACAACAAAACAUGUUAACCUCUCACCAUUAGCAAUAGCAUUUUUGGGGUGUAUGAUGUGCCUCUGUUAAUUUCUCAGUCAUUAUUAUUCACGAUUCAUUCACAUUUAUCCAUAAUCAUGGUAGCAUCCACAUUCAUGUAGAAGUGUUCAGAGACAUCUUCUAUUCUUACUUACAAUAAAAGGGUCUCCAAAAUGACACAAUGCAUUAUUCACCAUUCAGUUCCUAUAGGGAAAAAUAUCAUCUGAUCAUCAUUAUGCAAAUGCAUUCAAUGAGUUUGUUGAGUCACAAGCUUGAUUUAGUCGUUGAGUGCAAGGAAUAUGAGAACAAAUACUACACUUGUGACUACUUUACUACACUAUAAGUACAUUUUUCUUAUGACUUUCUCAAAUGUGGGGACAAGAUACAUAAAGUGCUUUAAUUUCUUUAUUUUUUAAUAUUUUUUUAUUUUUCAUUUUUAUAAAAAAACAAAAAUGGUAUUUCAUGGUAUCAGUCAGUUCAGUUGAGUCAGACUCAUCACUGCAACUCCCGUACGGACUCGUUCGAGGCGAAGGUCAAGAGCUGUGCGUCCUCCGAAACACAACCCAACCAAGCCGUACUGCCUCUGGACACAAUGCCCACUUAACCCGGAAGCCAGCCGCACCAAUGUGUUGGAGGAAACACCGUACACCUGGCGACCGUGUCAGCGUGCAUUGUGCCCGGCCAGCCACAGGAGUCUCUAGUACGCGAUGGGACAAGGACAUCCCUGCCGGCCAAACCUUCCCCUAACCCGGAAGAUGCUGGGACAAUUGUGCGCCGCCCCAUGGGUCUUCCGGUCGCGGCCGGCUGUGACAGAGCCUGGACUCGAACCCAAAAUCUCUAAUCUCAGGGCCACUCGGGAGGCCCUGUGCUUUAAUUUCUAAACAGUAAAACAGACAUGUAUGAAAAUACCCUCAAAUAACAGGACACAUUCUGUACUGUUGCCUCAUAUGAAACAUUUGAUCUCAAUUCCAAAAGGCUGGAGUAUAAAACCAAAUGUAACACUUUAUCUCCACUGUCCAAAUCCAUAUGGAGGGGAGUAAAUAAUAGGAUACACAGUAUAGGUAGCAACAAUGCCAUUCCAUUUAAGCACAUUUGUCAUUCUUCUUCUUUUGUUU
rnacentral:lncRNA from 1 species